UACAGAGGGUGCGAGCGUUAAUCGGAAUUACUGGGCGUAAAGCGCACGUAGGUGGCGACGUAAGUCGGGUGUGAAAGCCCCGGGCUCAACCUGGGAAUUGCAUUCGAGACUGCAUUGCCGGAGUACGGAAGAGGAGGGCGGAAUUCCCGGUGUAGCGGUGAAAUGCGUAGAUAUCGGGAGGAACAUCAGUGGCGAAGGCGGCCCUCUGGUCCAGUACUGACACUCAAGUGCGAAAGCGUGGGGAGCAAACAGG
rnacentral:rRNA from 1 species